rnacentral:rRNA from 1 species
UCGCGGCGGUGGGCGCAGAAGGGUCUGGGCUCGAGCCUGCCUGGAGCUGCCGCCGGUGCAGAUCUUGGUGGUAGUAGCAAAUACUCCAGCGAGGCCCUGGAGGACUGAUGUGGAGAAGGGUUUCGUGUGAACAGCCGUUGCACACGAGUCAGUCGAUCCUAAGCCCUAGGAGAAAUCCGAUGCAAAUGGCGAUGGGAAAAACGACUACUCAUAGAGACAGAGACCCAUUGAUCGGGCGAAAGGGAAUCCGGUUCCUAUUCCGGAACCCGGCAGCGGAACCGUUGUUCGUCGGGCCCUCGCAAGGGGUUCGUCAGGGCAACCUAAAAGGGCCCGGAGACGCCGUCGGGGGCCCCGGAAAGAGUUUUCUUUUCUGCAUGAGCGUUCGAGUUCCCUGGAAUCCUCUCGCAGGGAGAUAGGGUUUGGAGCGCGAAGAACACCGCAGUUGCGGCGGUGAACGGGUAUUCCCGACGGACCUUGAAAAUCCGGGAGAGGGCCACGUGGAGGUGUCGCGCCGGCUCGUACCCAUAUCCGCAGCAGGUCUCCAAGGAGAAGAGCCUCUAGUC